GAUGAACGCUGGCGGCGUGCCUAAUACAUGCAAGUCGAGCGAACGGACGAGAAGCUUGCUUCUCUGAUGUUAGCGGCGGACGGGUGAGUAACACGUGGAUAACCUACCUAUAAGACUGGGAUAACUUCGGGAAACCGGAGCUAAUACCAGAUGAUAUUUUGAACCGCAUGGUUCAAAAGUGAAAGACGGUCUUGCUGUCACUUAUAGAUGGAUCCGCGCUGCAUUAGCUAGUUGGUAAGGUAACGGCUUACCAAGGCAACGAUGCAUAGCCGACCUGAGAGGGUGAUCGGCCACACUGGAACUGAGACACGGUCCAGACUCCUACGGGAGGCAGCAGUAGGGAAUCUUCCGCAAUGGGCGAAAGCCUGACGGAGCAACGCCGAGUGAGUGAUGAAGGUCUUCGGAUCGUAAAACUCUGUUAUUAGGGAAGAACAUAUGUGUAAGUAACUGUGCACAUCUUGACGGUACCUAAUCAGAAAGCCACGGCUAACUACGUG
rnacentral:rRNA from 1 species